UCCCUGGAGGACUAGUGGUUAGGCCUCGGCACUAAUCAGCGCCGCGGACUGGGUCCGAUUCCCGGACAGGGAA